UGUCUUCAUUUGGAUUCGAUGUUCUAAAGUAUAUCUAUUUACCUGAGCAGAGGGGAAGUCAAGACUUCUGUUAAGCACCACAACUCCAGUGACUCUGCCUGGGGACUGGACAAGAAGCUGAAGCACUCAUCCUUUAUAUUUGUUUACUCAAGUUUUUCAAUGAAAGGCUUUGGCCAUAAAUUCAAAAAACGAAUUCCUUUUAUCCUUCUGCCAUCAUUUUUGUCUAAAUAAAUCUGCGUCUUUAACACUCAAUAAAUGGAUCGCUUCAAUUGAACAAAGCAGAGGUCCUGAUGUUCUAUCCCCUCCCAUGGAAAAGCCAAGGGUAUGCGUCCACAGUCCCAGUUUUCCAGGGACAGAGGCAGGCAGAUCCUGGAGUCUCCCGGGCUAGCCAGACUAGCUAACGACAAGGCUUCACAUUCAGUGUGAGACCUUGUCUCAAAAGUCAGCUGGCGAGGCACUGAAGUAGAUAGAUACCCAGCAUUGGCCUGUAGCCUCCAAAUUCACAUGCUUGGGAGAGUGCACCUGCAUACAGGCAUGCAUGCACACAUACACAUACCACAAGGGCAAGCACAGAAAUAAGUAGAUAAAUAUUGUAGGGAAAGGGGUGUUUUAUUCUAUGAGUUAAAGCAUAUAUACAUCCCUGUAACCCAGAGAGUCCUAUUGAAAAAUAGAACACCCCACCCUCAGGAAACU
rnacentral:lncRNA from 1 species